AGUACUCCUUCUAAGCUAAUAUCACCACGAGACCGAUAGCGAACAAGUACCGUGAGGGAAAGUUGAAAAGCACUCUGAAUAGAGAGUCAAAAAGUACGUGAAACUGCCUAGGGCUCAAGCCCGUUGAACUCGAUUAUCCGCGGCGGAGAUAUUCACCUGCGGUUGGCCCUCACCCGGUCCGCCGCAGGGCACUUACCUCCUGCCUCACGAGGACGUUGCGAUCCAUUACGAAACGGUUAGCCAGCAAUGGCUACAGGCCCGGCACCUGCCCCUUGGCAUCUGGUUGCUUGUCCCACAGUAGCGGCGCUCAGUUCGGAAGGCCUGCGCCGCAACCUGGGGCUUACCGAUGCGUGGUGUGCAGCCGGGCGCGUGAUGGAUUCCCGCGUACACCGUCUCGGGAGAGGUUGCCCUCCCCCCCCCCCCAAGGGGAGAGAGAGUGUAUCGCGAACAAUAAAAUCUAGGUACCUUCUGGACACCCCUCGAGAA
rnacentral:rRNA from 1 species